AUAUCAAUAAGCAGAGGAAAAGAAACUAACCAGGAUUCCCCCAGUAACGGCGAGAAUAGCUCAAAAUUUUAAAUCUGGCCGGCGUGGUCAGUCCAAGUUGUAAUUUGAAGAAGCGGUUAUCACGUUUUCAUUUGGGUUUAAGUUCCUUGGAACAGGACAUCAGAAGAGGGUGAGAAUCCAUACGAUAUCGUUUCUAAGAGUCGAGUUGUUUGGGAUUGCAGCUCAAAAUGGGUGGUAAAUUCCAUCUAAAGCUAAAUAUUGGCGAGAGACCGAUAGCGCACAAAGUA
rnacentral:rRNA from 1 species